rnacentral:rRNA from 1 species
UGGGGAAUUGUUCACAAUGGGCGCAAGCCUGAUGACGCAACGCCGCGUGGGGGAUGAAGGUCUUCGGAUCGUAAACCCCUGUCGAAUGGGACGAAUAGCCCGCGAAUUAAUACCUCGUGGGAAUGACGGUACCGUUAAAGGAAGCCACGGCUAACUCUGUGCCAGCAGCCGCGGUAAUACAGAGGUGGCAAGCGUUGUUCGGAAUUACUGGGCGUAAAGGGCGCGUAGGCGGCCAUCUAAGUCAGACGUGAAAUCCCCCGGCUCAACCUGGGAACUGCGUCUGAUACUGGGAGGCUAGAGUUUGGGAGAGGGAUGUAGAAUUCCAGGUGUAGCGGUGAAAUGCGUAGAUAUCUGGAGGAAUACCGGUGGCGAAGGCGGCAUCCUGGACCAAUACUGACGCUGAGGCGCGAAAGCUAGGGGAGCAAACGGGAUUAGAUACCCCCGUAGUCCCUGAGCGGGCUGGCAAGGCGCAU